GUGCCAGCAGCCGCGGUAAUACGGAGGGUGCGAGCGUUGUCCGGAAUCACUGGGCGUAAAGGGCGCGUAGGUGGCCUGGUCAGCGUGCGGUGAAAGCUCGGGGCUCAACCCCGAGUCGGCCGUGCGAACUGCUGGGCUUGAGCACUGUAGAGGCAGGCGGAAUUCCGGGUGUAGCGGUGGAAUGCGUAGAGAUCCGGAAGAACACCGGUGGCGAAGGCGGCCUGCUGGGCAGUAGCUGACACUGAGGCGCGACAGCGUGGGGAGCAAACAGGAUUAGAAACCCCUGUAGUCC
rnacentral:rRNA from 1 species